AUACGGAGGACGCGAGCGUUAUCCGGAUUCAUUGGGUUUAAAGGGUGCGCAGGCGGCCGUGCAAGUCAGCGGUGAAAGCCCGGGGCUCAACCCCGGAAGUGCCGUUGAUACUGCAUGGCUGGAAUGCGGUCGAGGCGGGCGGGACGUGGCGUGUAGCGGUGAAAAGCGUAGAUAUGCCACAGAACGCCGAUAGCGGAGGCAGCUCGCCAGGCCUGCAUUGACGCUCGGGCACGAAAGCGUGGGGAUCGAACAGGAUUAGAUACCCUGGUAGUCCACGCCGUAAACGAUGGGCGCUCGUCGUCGGCGGCAGACAGUCGGCGGCCAAGCGAAAGCGAUAAGCGCCCCACCUGGGGAGUACGGUCGCAAGGCUGAAACUCAAAUGAAUUGACGGGG
rnacentral:rRNA from 1 species